AAUGACUAUAGUCUCAUUUUAUCCAGUGACAGAUAAAAACCCCUUACAUGAUAUUGAUAAGCAACAUUCUCUGGCAGCUUUCUGAGGUGACAAGAAAACAGUUCUAAAUAAAUGUAUUUUGGGUUCUAAAUAAAUGUAUUUUGGGUUCUGUAUUCUAGAAUAUGAACAAGAAAUUGUGAAGAGCCUGGGGAGGAGGCUAGAAGAUGCCAACAGGAAAAGGAGGACAUGAAGAGUCACAGAACCACAGAAUGGUUUGCAUUGGAAGGGAUGCAGAAAAGGACUGAGAGAUGCAUAAUGAAAAAUGGGGGCAGACUGAAACUGGAAGAUGGGUAGGAAAUACAGGCGCAGGAGAACCUGUCUGGGCAGGAGUUCUGGCCUGUGGCUCCCUCACUUGCACACCUUCACUACCUCUAAUGCAGAUACAUGAAAUAAUUUUGUCCUUCAUAAUAACCAUUUUGCACAUCAAUGGAGACACUCAUGUCAACUGAAGACAGGCCUUUCUUUUUCUGAUCUUUGUGUCCCUGUCACAGCAUCCACAAAGAGUCUAUUCACUAUUUUUGUUACAUAGAUAGUCCCCUGGAUUCUUCCUUAAGUGUCCAAGUAACACUGUGGUUGCCUUUGCACUAACACCAGCCAUCCUCAUAGAAAUGUUAAUCUCAUCUAAUGUAAAACUUUGGACUUCAAAUGUCUUAUUCUCCCUUAUUGUUUCACUAUAAUCCUCCAUCAGCAUAUGAUACACCUGGAUAUUUCUUUCAUUUUGAACAACCUUGCUGGAAGUAUUUUCAUUCCAUCCAGAGACUACUGAGACCACUGGUUAAAUUAUUUUCAAAAUUUGUAUCAAUAAGUGAAAUUAAAUCAGCCAUCUUAAAGAAUAAGCUUUCCAGGCAGAUCCUAAGCUAGGUGAAAUUAAUAUAAGUCAUUCUAAGACAUGUUCUGAAGCAUAUAUGAGAUACUUUGGGGUUGCUGUUUGUUCUGGAGGUUGAACUAGAUGACUCUGAGUUUCCUUCCAACCCAAAUGUUUUUAUGGUUCUGUGAUUCAAAUUUUGUCUGAAAAGUUACAAAACUUUUCUUGUCAGUAUGAAAAAUAUUGGAACACUAGAUAAAAACUUUAUUGAGUUUCAGCAAAACUUGAUCAUUCUGUUUAUUUUUUAUUAUCAGAUGUAGGGCUCAGAAACUUGUUGUGUAGAAAAUACAUCCAGAGUUAAAGAUAAGAAGAAUGAGUCAGAGAUGUGGGCAUCACUUUGGGAACUUUGUACAUUGUUGUGCAAUGAUUUCUAGAAUUUAUAACAUUUGGAUUAAGGCAUACAUAGAAAAACUGUAAGGAAAAAUGGCUGUUUUUUUUUCUCUGAAUUUUUUAAGCUGUACUGAAAUCAAUCAUGGAAAAAGUAAAACACCAAAUAGUUCAGAAUCUACUACUUCACUUAAGAUAAACUAAAAGAAUUAAAAGAUCAGAGAUGCGUAUUUCUGAGAAAAACAGAGCUUCCAGCAAGUGAACGUGUGGGAUGCUUCAAGAGGGGGAUGAUCUCAGCUAUUACAAGCAGGAGACUAGUUCUAAAUGAAGGAGAUUAUAAAAACUAUAAUUAGCUAAUGCUUGCUAAAAGCCUAACUAAACUGUUGGGUUUUUUCCAUUCCAAAGUGCAAUUCCAUAGUGGGAUCAAGUGUCACAUAGCAAGUGCAGAAAGAAAAACAGAUCUUAUGAACAUAAGAUCUGACAUUAUUUCGGGACAGGCUUGUAAGCUCUGCGAAACAGAUACUUUUCUGUUAAUGAUGCUGUGAUUUCUGAAGAACUGUUUACUUACUAUAUUGGAAUAUAAUAAGAACAUCACAAUUAAUUGUCACCCAUUUGUACUAAUUUUAUUUACAUGUCUACAGCUAACUCUUUAAUCUGUGUUGUAAAUUAUUAAGAAAGCAGAUGGAUUGCUGGAGAGAACAGAAUCCCUAGUCUCAUAAAAGCAAAUUUACUCUUCUCAGAAGUGGUCUCAUUACUAUUUUGUUUAAUAUCCAUGGUAUUUAACAUAAUAACCUGAUGAAGGAUGACCGUGUCUGCUCUGCAUGGAUCACAUUCUGUCCCUAGGGAGUUUUCAAAGUACAGAAACAUGGAACACUUCAAAUCCUGACAGAGAAUAAGCCAAGAUCCCUGCUCUUAUAAAGCACCCUAAAUGUUGCUUGACCUUUGCUGUAAACUUGUAGGUAACAGAGGGAAGCAUCACAGAAGAAGCAGGAUGUCUAGCAACACGAAAGCAUUUCAGGAGUGUGUGGCAAUUGCUGUCUUACAGAGGACAGGCAGUUUGAACCGUCUACUAGAAUGACAGAAGAAAAAUACAGUAGUUUGCUGAGGCUUUUACCAAAUAUGGAAGCACAGGCUUCAUUCUCCUAAGUGCACCCCAUCACACCUCCCCAGACUGCUAAGCUACUUCUGUAACAAAUUCAAGGGUAAUCUGGAGCACUACAGCAAAGAGCUGAGUAAAACAGAACUGUAAAGCUGAGAAACACGGUGUUUCCCACUGCACCCAAGAGCAGACAAUCUUUUGGUAGUCGUGCUUCAGUCCCUCAAUACUUGUCAUCAGCACAAGGUCCAGAGCUGCUGAAGAAAAGGUGCAAGACAGGGGCUUUUUUCAUGCAAGGCAAG